AUGGCAAAAACUAGUGGAUCAUUUGUUCUAGCUAUCCUUGUAGUAGCUAUAUUUCUGAAUGGCUAUAAUGCUGCUGAGAGCAUAGAAAGCGGUAAUCAACCUAAGAAAGGAAUAGACGCAGAUAUUUGCUUUGGGCCGCUACCAUGUACUGUUUUAAGCUGUGGCGCAUUAUGUUAUACAAAAGCCUUUUCUAGCGGCCAUUGUACAACGCUAUCAAUCUGUUGUUGCGCUAGGAUUUAA